rnacentral:rRNA from 1 species
CAGUCGCCACGGUAAUACGAAGGGGGCUAGCGUUGUUCGGAAUUACUGGGCGUAAAGCGCACGUAGGCGGACAUUUAAGUCAGGGGUGAAAUCCCGGGGCUCAACCCCGGAACUGCCUUUGAUACUGGGUGUCUUGAGUGUGGAAGAGGUCAGUGGAAUUGCGAGUGUAGAGGUGAAAUUCGUAGAUAUUCGCAGGAACACCAGUGGCGAAGGCGGCUGACUGGUCCACAACUGACGCUGAGGUGCGAAAGCGUGGGGAGCAAACAGGAUUAGAUACCCGCGUAGUCCCUGUCUCUUAUAC